CCCUUAGAUGUUCUGGGCCGCACGCGCGCUACACUGAUGAAUUCAACGAGCACUAACCUGUGCCGAAAGGUUCGGGUAAUCUUGUGAAAUUUCAUCGUGAUGGGGAUUGAUUAUUGCAAUUUUUAAUCAUAAACGAGGAAUGCCUAGUAAGCGUGAGUCAUCAGCUCACGUUGAUUACGUCCCUGCCCUUUGUACACACCGCCCGUCGCUCCUACCGAUGGAUCGUCCGGUGAAGCUCAUGGAGGGGCGGUUGUCUCAGCUGCCGUCGAAGUGAAAUGGACCUCACGAUCUAGAGGAAGGAGAAGUCGUAACA
rnacentral:rRNA from 1 species